CAUUUUACAUUAGCACCCAAGACAAGCUCUCGUUGACAAGAAAGUACCCAGCGCUAGAAUGGCAGUCAAACUGUUUACUUGUCUGAUCGGCUUACUCUCACUCCUGGUGUUAUUUUCACCCGAGUCUGAUGCAAUUGGAAACGGAGCACACAGCGGUGGAAAAAGAGCCUUCAAGGUGAUGAGUGAUUUUCAGGACGCUGAUGACAAUGUUAUCAUGAAACGUCGACUGUGUGACGUGGCAAGACGCGCGGGAUGCUGAAAUGUUAUUCUAAAUGUUGAUGGAAAGAAACAACAAUUUUAAUAAUUAACAACGUUGUAUAAUGUUACAUAAAUUUGUCUCUUCAACAAGGUAACGUCUCUCCUUUGAGGAGUAUAAAAAGGUUAAUGUGAGCAAAAAAUAAAUAAAUAAAAACUCAAUAGUACA